GAUGAAGAACGCAGCGAAAUGCGAUAAGUAAUGUGAAUUGCAGAAUUCAGUGAAUCAUCGAAUCUUUGAACGCACAUUGCGCCCGCCAGUAUUCUGGCGGGCAUGCCUGUUCGAGCGUCAUUACAACCCUCAGGCCCCCGGGCCUGGCGUUGGGGAUCGGCGGAAGCCCCCUGUGGGCACACGCCGUCCCUCAAAUACAGUGGCGGUCCCGCCGCAGCUUCCAUUGCGUAGUAGCUAACACCUCGCAACUGGAGAGCGGCGCGGCCAUGCCGUAAAACACCCAACUUCUGAAUGUUGACCUCGAAUCAGGAAGGAAUACCCGCUGAACUUAAGCAUAUCAAUAAGCGGAGGA
rnacentral:misc_RNA from 1 species